rnacentral:rRNA from 1 species
CCUACGGGAGGCUGCAGUAGGGAAUAUUGCUCAAUGGGGGCAACCCUGAAGCAGCCACGCCGCGUGGAGGAUGAAGGUCUUCGGGUUGUAAACUCCUUUUAGUAGAGAAGAUAAUGACGUUAUCUAACGAAUAAGCACCGGCUAACUCCGUGCCAGCAGCCGCGGUAAUACGGAGGGUGCAAGCGUUACUCGGAAUCACUGGGCGUAAAGAGCAAGUAGGCGGGAUGGUAAGUCAGAUGUGAAAUCCUAGGGCUUAACCAUAGAACUGCAUUUGAGACUGGUAUUCUUGAGUAUCGUAGAGGGAGGUAGAAUUCUUGGUGUAGCGGUGAAAUGCGUAGAGAUCAAGAGGAAUACUGAUUGCGAAGGCGACCUGCUAGAACAAGACUGACGCUGAUGCGCGAAAGCGUGGGGAGCAAACAGGAUUAGAUACCCCUGUAGUC